UGCUGCACCACCGUGCGUGCACCCAUCGUUCCAUCAUUCCUCCUUUCGCUUUCAAGAUGCACAGGCAGCCCAAAGCAGGUCGUGUCCGAACCAUCGUCUCGCACUGAACAAGAGAGAAGUGAAAAUGUCAUUACCUACCUGCUUUGUGGCGGACUACGUGGACGCUGCCAAGUUACCCCAUCCUCUCCCACGCCCUCCAACUACCGUAGACAAAACGUUCGACGACGUCAUGAAGCUGCUUCGCGCAGGCAAGGACAAGGAAAAUGGUAUACCACAAGAUAUGGAAGUGCCAGUUUUCAAGCCUCAACAAGAAACCUGGAUCAAAGCGGAGCACAUGCUGCAAUGCAAAAGUUGACAUCAAGAUCAAGAAAGUAAACGAAGACACCCAACGCAACGAUCUUUUCCUACGGGGAGAGACACCACUGCCUGCUGUCAUCAAAAUUACAACGCACAACCAUGCAAACAACUGCGCUGGUGGAAUGAGACCCCUAAGAUGUCUCCCAGAAACAAAGGACACCUUCAUGUCCUAUUUCGAAGACAGCAUGAAACCGUGCGAAGCCAUAUGUUUUCAUGAAACAACACUUCUUUCACAAGAUAAUGGUAUUGAAAUGACCGCAAACAACCUCCUCAACCCUACACAAAGAACUGUUUAUUACUGGUUUGACCAGUGGCAAACAGUUAAUUUUGGGAAGGACCUUAACCCGGUCGAAAAGAUAAGGCAAAAGAUGCCUGCGUACUUGGAGCAAGGUAAUGACUGCGUAAAAUAUGUAACAAAUGUCUCAAACAAGAACGAUUCGUUUGUUUCACAAAAUUGCAAAACCGAUUGAGAGCUUUAAUACGUAAUGCAGGUGUGAU